rfam:Triticum aestivum genome assembly, contig: Triticum_aestivum_CS42_TGACv1_scaffold_053866_1BS
CACGUACUCCCUCCGUCCAAAAAUACUUGUCAUCAAAAUGGACAAAAUAGGAUGUAUCUAAAACUAAAAUACAUCUAAAUACAUCCCCUUUUAUUCAUUUUGAUGACAAGUAUUUCCGGACGGAGGGAGUACAUG